rnacentral:tRNA from 1 species
GCCUGGGUGGCUCAGUUGGUUAAGCGGCCGACUUCGGCUCAGAUCAUGAUCUUGCGGUCUGUGAGUUCGAGCCCCACCUCGGGCU